AACGUACAACCCGCCCGACCCGCAAGGGAAGGGGGGGGAAUGUGUGACCAGGCGCGCAAAUUCGAAACUGGGAGUGGCCACACUUUCACACCGCCAUACCAAACAGUCGCUCGCUUCGAAAGUCCUCGUGACGAGUAGCGGUGGGUUUCUGGGCGGCUCUCGCUGUGUGCUUCUGACCUAUCAACUAGAUGGCAGCGCAUGCUAUGGUGACAACGGGUACAGAGGAUAAGGGUUCGAUCCUGGAGAGUGGGCCUGAGAGAUUGCUCACACUUCUAAGGAAGGCAGCAGGCGCGCAACGUUCCCAUUGGGCAAAGCUCGAGGGCGUUAGGGGACAUAUGAAUGCCUGCCUUAUGGUGGGCAAUUCAAAUGGGGCUGUUUUAAAUAUCCUAUCGAGUAACAAUUAGAGGACAA
rnacentral:rRNA from 1 species